rnacentral:tRNA from 1 species
GGGGGCGUGGCGCAAUUGGCAGCGCAGCGGUCUUUUAAAUCGUUGGUUGAGGGAUCGAGGCCCUCCGCCCCCA